GAGUUUGUCCUGGCUCAGAUUGAACGCUGGCGGCAGGCCUAACACAUGCAAGUCGAGCGGUAGAGAGAAGCUUGCUUCUCUUGAGAGCGGCGGACGGGUGAGUAAUGCCUAGGAAUCUGCCUGGUAGUGGGGGAUAACGCUCGGAAACGGACGCUAAUACCGCAUACGUCCUACGGGAGAAAGCAGGGGACCUUCGGGCCUUGCGCUAUCAGAUGAGCCUAGGUCGGAUUAGCUAGUUGGUGAGGUAAUGGCUCACCAAGGCGACGAUCCGUAACUGGUCUGAGAGGAUGAUCAGUCACACUGGAACUGAGACACGGUCCAGACUCCUACGGGAGGCAGCAGUGGGGAAUAUUGGACAAUGGGCGAAAGCCUGAUCCAGCCAUGCCGCGUGUGUGAAGAAGGUCUUCGGAUUGUAAAGCACUUUAAGUUGGGUAGGAAGGGCAGUAAAUUAAUACUUUAGCUGUUUUGACGUUACCGACAGAAUAAGCACCGGCUAACUCUGUG
rnacentral:rRNA from 1 species